AUGUGCUCAAACGUUUGAGAAGCCUUGGUGGAUAGAAGUACUAUGGUGCUAAUUCAUAGGGACACAAAUGGUUGGAUGAACAUCUUCUGUAUUGAAGAAUGAAAUGAGUCAAUAAAAGUUAGUUAGCAUGGUUUGGUUAGUUACAAAUUCUGUUACAGUCAGGAAGUAAAGUAGUUAUGACAGUUAUUUGGCCUUAAAGUUGCAAUCACAUAGUGCAUACUUACAGUAUAAGUGAUAGGGGUUAGGGAACUCAAUUCUCAUAGACCAUUACCUAUGUGCACAUGAAUUCAACAAUGUAGAUGUGCUUCUCAAUAACUUGCUCAAUAUUACAGACUUGAAUUGAAUGAUACUUUCUCUGAUGUGAAGACUCAUGUAUUUCUCAUGGAUCCUCUAACUUUGAUUAACCACAUUCAUUCUUUUGUUAUUCAAGAAGAAAGCAACCGCAAAAAUAUGAUUAAAAUUGAAGACAAUUCUAUUUUGGUUAAUGUUACACAAAGACCUGAUUUCAAUCACAGAAAACUUUCAUAAGAAUUCAAAUAGGGUAUGCACUUUCUUUCA
rnacentral:lncRNA from 1 species